GCUGAGCUGUGAUGGCGAGCGAAAUAUAGUAGCGAAGUUCCUGAUUCCACACUGCCAAGAAAAGCCUCUAGCGAGGUGAGAGGUGCCCGUACCGCAAACCGACACAGGUAGGCGAGGAGAGAAUCCUAAGGUGAUCGAGAGAACUCUCGUUAAGGAACUCGGCAAAAUGACCCCGUAACUUCGGGAGAAGGGGUGCUCUGUUAGGGUGCAAGCCCGAGAGAGCCGCAGUGAAUAGGCCCAGGCGACUGUUUAGCAAAAACACAGGUCUCUGCGAAGCCGUAAGGCGAAGUAUAGGGGCUGACGC
rnacentral:rRNA from 1 species